rnacentral:misc_RNA from 2 species
AACGCACAUUGCGCCCUCUGGUAUUCCGGAGGGCAUGCCUGUUCGAGCGUCAUUAUAACCACUCAAGCGCGGCUUGGUAUUGGGGUUCGCAUCUCGCGGCCCUUAAAAUCAGUGGCGGUGCCUGUCGGCUCUACGCGUAGUAAUACUCCUCGCGAUUGAGUCCGGCAGGUUGCUUGCCAACAACCCCCAAUUUUUACAGGUUGACCUCGGAUCAGGUAGGGAUACCCGCUGAACUUAA